rnacentral:rRNA from 1 species
GAUCAACGCUGGCGGCGUGCAUGAGACAUGCAAGUCGAACGGACCCUUUCGGGCUUGCCUGGAUGGGUUAGUGGCGGACGGCUGAGUAACGCGUAGGUGACCUGCCCCGAAGUGGGGAAUAACUGCCCGAAAGGGUGGCUAAUACCGCAUGUGGUGAUGCGUUCGAUCGCAUCAGUAAAGCCGCAAGGCGCUUCGGGAGGGGCCUGCGUCCGAUUAGCUCGUUGGUGGGGUAACGGCUCACCAAGGCGACGAUCGGUAGGUGGUCUGAGAGGACGAUCACCCAGACUGGGACUGAGACACGGCCCAGACUCCUACGGGAGGCAGCAGUCGGGAAUUUUGCGCAAUGGACGAAAGUCUGACGCAGCAACGCCGCGUGAGGGAUGACGGCCUUCGGGUUGUAAACCUCUUUUGUCAGGGACGAUGAUGACGGUACCUGACGAAUAAGCCACGGCUAACUACGUGCCAGCAGCCGCCGUAAUAC